rnacentral:misc_RNA from 1 species
AACCAUAGAAACCUGCGGAGUACCUGCGGAAGGAUCAUUCAAAAGUGUCUAAAUAUGGACAACUUUAUCCAUAUUCACCUUGUGUGCACUGUUUCACCGUUGACUUUGGCAUGUUUAUUGAGCUCGACGAAGGUUUUACCAACUUUCUGUGGUGCCUCAGACAUGUAAAGAGGAAUCCUUAUGGAACUCUGCGCGUGUGGCAUGCCAAAGUUUUUUUUUUAUCCAACGAAAACACUUGAA